ACUAAGUACUUAAUUCCUAAAGCUAACGCUAAUUACUAUUUACAUUAUUAUACAAAUAAAAAAAAUAUUAAUAUGAACUAAAACUAAUUAAAUAUUAAUUCAUAAGCAAACUCGGGAGGCACAGUAUGUUUAGCAGUUCACGCCGUGAUCGCGUGGAGGGAUCGAUAGGCGGCGCGCGCUGUGGAAUUUUACCUGUGCCAGAGCUAACUGGACGACGUUGAGGUCGGACGUGCCGCGUUACCUAAAUAUUAUUUCCUUCUACCUGCGACUAUUAUAUUGAGUCGAGAUUAUUCAAUAUAUAAUAAUUUUAUAGAUAAUUAUAUCUAUCUAGUACUUGCGCGGCUGUUAAAGUUUAUAACAAUUGAGUGUAUCGUUUUCACCCCGAAUCGGGGUUCACCGCUCCGGUACCGGACUUCGCUGGUACUAAUUGGACUACCCUGCAACCUACUUUCUACCUGCGCUACGACGACCACCGGACUACCCUAGUGACCGACCACGCAUUCGCCGAUCUAUCAGGGCAGUGGUAUUGAUUGCUGGACUUUUCACGUGUUGGUCUUAGUGAAUAUUGAAGAACCCACUGUCUCCCUUGAUCUUAGAUUCUUAUUAUACCUUCUCUUAGCAUUAUAA